rnacentral:lncRNA from 1 species
CCGCUCCGUGACGGCAUAAUAAAUAAUUAGAGGGUUUAAGCGCGUUAGCCACAGCUCAUGCUAAUGAGCCAGAUAAGGGCUCACGCUAACCCAAAGUGACAGUUUGCAUGUAGGAGGGAAGAAAAAGAGUCCUGCUAUUUUUCCCCAACUUGAUUGCUCCUUCUCAAAUUCAUGCGUCCCCUGUCCCCUUCCUCCAUUCCCUUCUUCUCCUCUCCCUUAUCUCCUGCCACACGCACAACACACACACUCCACCCUCUUUUGACCCUUCCUCGGUCUUUCACCCCCACCCCGGCCGCAUCGUGACGUCACAAAAUCCCCGGGUGCCUAAAUCUGACCUGCCGGGAAAGUUCACUCCCAGCGCGUCCCGUCCAGUCUCAGCCCUCGAGUGGAGACGGUUCGUAUGCCUUUCUUUACACAGUGUGGAAGGCACCAAGGCUCCCAUCCUCGGGGAAGGAAGUUAAAGCUCAGGAUCGGAGGUCCCUGAGCGCUUCGGGGGGCCAGCGCGCCCUUGGGUGCUCUCUGCGCUCUGCAGGGUGAGGGGAGCUACCGGCUGGGGCGAGGAGCGCAGGCGUCCGGAGCCCUGGAGCUCCUGAAAUGCUCCUGCCGCCUCCCGAAAGCAGGGGCACUUUGCCGAAGUGACUGAGAUGCUGGCACAUUCACUGCUUUCCUUAGUAUACCAGCAGCAUCAAGGGAAGAAAUGAUGUUUGUAAGGCCGUCCUGGGGCCAAGGAAAACUCCAUUUUGUAUCUAUCACACUAGAAACAUACUGGAGUCAGAUAAAGGAUACAGAUUCUCCUGAGGGUCGAAGUCAAGGUCUCAUCCUUCCUUGUUCACCAACACCGAUCUUCUAACUUACCAUGGGAAAUAUUACUCAGAUGCCCAAGGACUCCUUUUGGGCAGAAAUUAUACCUAGUUAUGUCUGUACUCUUAGCAGCCAGCAGGAAGCCUGGAACAUCAGAGAGACCCGAGGAAUCCUACACAACAACUCUUAAAAUUCCCAUUUUAAAGACAAAGAAAUUGAAACACGGGCUUGACCAAAGCUACACAGCUACUCAGCGGUGGAACGAGGAGUUAAUCCACUUGUUUUGAAUCUCAAAUCCGAGAUUUUUUUUCUGUUUUGGCAGAUGGUUGGUCAUUCGUCAAAGAAUCGUGGGAGGGGAGAGGGUGGAUUUCUAGCAACCUUUAUUAUUGGCUUGUUUCCUCUCAGCCCAUUACCCUUUCCUGGGUAAUUAUUAGGCAGCACUCAAGGUCUUG